AUGUGUUCCAUGAUGUAAGGCCCAGUUUCUUCAUCAGUGGCCCGGAUCAGUGCGUGUAAAUGGCCCAGCCAUUUUAUUGUCUAGUGAGACCACCGAGCGGCGUCGUUUUGGGAGGUAUGUUUAUCUCCUCUGUUUUCCGUUUCUUUCUCCCUUCUCUUCCGCAGUUUCGGUUUCUUCCGCACGUCUCUCGCGCACGUCUCUUUCUUUUCUUUCGGUUUCUACUUAUUUCUUGUUGCUGCGUUAGUCUGUGGGUUCCGAUUCUCUGCCCUAGUUUCCUCAUUGUUGCGGUUUCUCUCUUGCACUGCUUAUUAUUCCAGUGAGUUGCCGUCUGCUACACUCUGUUUUCUCUCCAUUUUCACGUUUCUGUUCUUCCUCUACAAGUCAGCGAGCAGUACCUCUCUUUCCUCCAUUUUUUCGACUGGUAAGUGUUUCCUUCUCAUCCCUUUAGGUUUCGGUUUCAUAUACUGAAAUUGUGCAGAUUCUGAUCCUUAGUAUUUGGUUUGUUUUAUCCUCUGUUUCUGCAGUUUCUGUUUUGGCCGUGAGUUUUGAGUAGCAUUUUGUGAGUUUUCUGGUUGCUGUGCGUGGGAGUAUUUCGGGUUGGUGAGUUUCGGGUAAGCAUUGAAACCUUUGCUGGAUUUUCUCAAUGCCGUAUCAUACUCAUGCAGUUCUUCUUCAAAUUUAUUUUGAUUUUAUCCUCAUUUCUGCAGUUUUUGGUUGCCGUGAGUUUGAGUUGUAUUUUCGUCGGUUCUUGAGUUUCCGUGACUUGUGAUUCCUAGUUAUUGGACUUUCAGUUUCUCGGGUAAUCAGUGAAGCUAAUUCCGGAGAAUCUAUUCUUUUCUUUCACUGGUGACGAGAUUGAUAGAGAUCAUUUUCAAGACUUAGAUAAUACGCUGCAGG